GCUAGCUGUGCAUCAUAACGCGUCUGAACUGGUGAAUACAUCGAAGAUAUAAUGGAGAUUGAAACCCUCACAAUUGGUGCGAUAGUCACCUUCGUCAACAAUGAAUCCGUUCAGGUACAGCCACAUUUGACAUUUCACUCCCGCCUGAAUAGUAUACUUACCCCCGAAUUGUUUUACUUUUUUUUUUUGCUCUAAUAAAUGUUGAAUGCUUUUUCCUACUGCACAGAGACAGUUGACGAUGUCGAAAGAAAUCCCGGGUGGUAUUACAGAGGGCCAACAUCGUUGAUGUGAGAAUGUUACCGGGGUUGUGAAGUAAUGUCACUCACACAGUUACAUUGACGAAACUUUAUCUACUAUUGUGAUGUUGCAAAGUAUUUUUAGUUCACGAACUCCUCUCUGUUUUUUUUUUUUUGGUAAAACAUUUCCGUUAUAAUUACAG
rnacentral:lncRNA from 1 species